CCGGUUGGUGAUCUUCCCCCUCCCCGUCUUUUACUAAGAUCCCUGGCUUCCACCUCCUGCGGUCCUCUCGCUCUGUGUUCGACAAAUGCCUUUCACGACGUUCAUUGAAGUGGAACCACCCGGUCCACUGCGAUACAUAAUUGGGGCCGUUAUAAUGAUGAUCGGAGUUGUAUUGCCCCUCGGAUAUAUGGUGUUCCGGAACAAGCGUGGUUCUUCUUCUUCUUCUUACUCCAAACAGACGUAGGAUCAAGGUUUUGAUUUAGUUGCAUAGAGGAAGAGACACAUCUACUUCAGUUUUGGGCUCAGCUAAUGGAGGAUGCUAUUCACAGGGUAAUGUAAAUGCAUUGAGAUUUAAAAUUUCUGUUGAAACCGACACGAUUAUGGCCCAAUUAUUGACCUUAAGCAAUGCAUUUCAUCGUUGCUUUUUCUUGAAAUCAAUGGCAUACAACUGCAUCUUGUCAUUUGUAUUGUUGAAGGAGUUAUGUGUGAUUACAGUUGACCCACAUUUAGUAUUAUUCAGAUACAACCACAAAGGCAUGAAAGUACUCUUUGUUGGUCUCC